ACUCCUACGGGAGGCAACAGUGGGGAAUAUUGGACAAUGGACCAAAAGUCUGAUCCAGCAAUUCUGUGUGUUUGAUGAAGGCCUUCGGGUUGUAAAGAACUUUCAGGUGGGGAAGAAGCAAGUGACGGUACCCACAGAAGAAGCGACGGCUAAAUACGUGCCAGCAGCCGCGGUAAUACGUAUGUCGCAAGCGUUAUCCGGAAUUAUUGGGCAUAAAGGGCGUCUAGGCGGUCUAAUAAGUCUGAUGUGAAAAUGCGGGGCUCAACUCCGUAUUGCGUUGGAAACUGUUAGACUAGAGUUUUGGAGAGGUAGGCGGAACUACAAGUGUAGAGGUGAAAUUCGUAGAGAUUUGUAGGAAUGCCGAUGACGAAGGUAGCUUACUGGACAAAUACUGACGCUG
rnacentral:rRNA from 1 species